rnacentral:rRNA from 1 species
ACGUACGCUGGCGGCACGCCUAACACAUGCAAGUCGAACGAAGUAGCAAUACUUAGUGGCAGACGGGUGAGUAACAUGUAGGUAUCUGCCCUUUGGCCUGGAAUAACACGAGGAAACUUGUGCUAAUACCGGAUAAGUCUUUACGGAGAAAGCUUUAUGCACCAUUGGAUGAGCCUGCACUUGAUUAGUUUGUUGGUGGGGUAAUGGCCUACCAAGACUGUGAUCAAUAGCUGAUUUGAGAGGAUGAUCAGCCACAUUGGGACUGAGACACGGCCCAAACUCCUACGGGAGGCAGCAGUGGGGAAUCUUGCACAAUGGAGGAAACUCUGAUGCAGCGAUGCCGCGUGAGUGAAGAAGGCCCUUGGGUUGUAAAGCUCUUUCGUCGGGGAAGAAAAUGACUGUACCCGAAUAAGAAGGUCCGGCUAACUUCGUGCCAGCAGCCGCGGUAAUACGAAGGGACCUAGCGUAGUUCGGAAUUACUGGGCUUAAAGAGUUCGUAGGUGGUUGAAAAAGUUAGUGGUGAAAUCCCAGAGCUUAACUCUGGAACUGCCAUUAAAACUUUUCAGCUAGAGUAUGAUAGAGGAAAGCAGAAUUUCUAGUGUAGAGGUGAAAUUCGUAGAUAUUAGAAAGAAUACCAAUUGCGAAAGGCAGCUUUCUGGAUCAUUACUGACACUGAGGAACGAAAGCAUGGGUAGCGAAGAGGAUUAGAUACCCUCGUAGUCCAUGCCGUAAACGAUGUGUGUUAGACGUUGGAAAUUUAUUUUCAGUGUCGCAGCGAAAGCGAUAAACACACCGCCUGGGGAGUACGACCGCAAGGUUAAAACUCAAAUGAAUUGACGGGGACCCGCACAAGUAGUGGAGCAUGUGGUUUAAUUCGAAGAUACGCGCAGAACCUUACCAACACUUGACAUGUUCGUCGCGACUCUAAGAGAUUAGAGUUUUCGGUUCGGCCGGACGAAACACAGGUGCUGCAUGGCUGUCGUCAGCUCGUGUCGUGAGAUGUUGGGUUAAGUCCCGCAACGAGCGCAACCCUCACUUUUAGUUGCCAUCAUUAAGUUGGGCACUCUGAAAGAACUGCCAGUGAUAAGCUGGAGGAAGGUGGGGAUGACGUCAAGUCCUCAUGGCCCUUACGUGUUGGGCUACACACGUGCUACAAUGGUAUCUACAACAGGAAGCAAGACUGCGAAGUUAAGCAAAUCCCUAAAAGAUACCUCAGUUCGGAUUGCACUCUGCAACUCGAGUGCAUGAAGCUGGAAUUACUAGUAAUCGUGGAUCAGCGUGCCACGGUGAAUGCGUUCCCGGGUCUUGUACACACCGC